ACCCUAGCCGCCCACCGCCGCCGGAAAUCGCCCAAGGCGGCGGCCCAUCUCCAAUCACCUCCAACUUUUCACCACGCAAUCACCACGUCCUUCUCAUCCCAUAUCUCCCAUUCGUUUCCCUCAAAAACCUUUAGAAUUGUUCGAUUUGUAGAUCUAGAAAUGAAACCCUAGACCUCCUCUUCGUCGACGAUAGCUGUUUUGGUCCCUUAAUCGUUUGAAUGGCUAGAAUUUUCUUAAAACCUUCGCUUUUUCUUUGUUCUCGGCUUGCAAGAGUUAUUAUCAUACGUAGCACUAGCCAAAUGGAGAAAUAUCGGUCAGUGCUCGUGUAAUAAUAACUUUUGUUCGUUGAAUUCUGGCUCGCUGGAGUUGUUUGUAUCCUCCUGGUGUUUGCUAAAUUUGUAUAUCUCCCUUCCCUUUCUUAAAUUGGCUGUUUAAUCACAUAUUCGUAUGAUCAUGUGAUCUGAUUUGGGGUUAAUUCCAGUGUUUAAUCGUCUUCGUAAUUACUUUUGUGCUUUAGUGAUGAACUGUUGGUUUAAAAUUACUCAUACCUGAUUAGUGCAAUUAAAUUAGUUUCUUUAUUGAAUUUAUGAUUUGGUCGAAAUUACUGAAAUUGGUUUGAGUUUAAUUUUAAGUGUUUUAGAGAUUUGGACCGCGAGAGAUUUGCUGUUAGGUUUCUAGUGAAGGGCAGUAGUCUGGACCCAUGCAAUUAGAUAUCGAUCAAAUAAAAGAAAGGUGUAAAUAACAUGAAGUGUAAGGGACGUUUAGGAAUUAAAACUUCAAAGGAUCUCGGUCUAUAACUGCCUAAGAAGGUUCUAGAGAUAGGGUGAGGGACUAAAAUGCAACAAGAUAAAGUGUUUAGUCAAAUCUGGGGUCAAAAAGGUUAAAAUACAGACGUUAAAAGGGCUGAAAAACUAUGGAGGAAUAUCUGAAUGGACAGCUGUCCAAUAACUGUCCAAAUCAGUUUUAAAAGAUGUUCUUUUCUUGAAAUUUAGGGAUUGCCUUCUUAGAAUUAUUCCCUCAUUUGUGCACCUCUCAGAUUUUUCAUUCUCUAUAUAGGACCUCCUAUCUUCUCAGUCACACACACGUUAAGCACUCAAAAAUAAAAGGCAGCCAAAAGCUUCAAUAGAAAUUGAAGAAGAGUUCUAAAAAAUCCAAAACUUCUUCAAGAUACUAAACUUUUGUUGCUUUUGUUUAGCUUAGCACUCCUAGUUUCUUGCUUAAACAUUUGUAAGAUCACUGUUAAGUGCUGCUGACUGCAUCGCGAGGUUCGAGAUCCAGUUCUUGUUGUUUUUCUGUUGUUCUAUUUGCUACAUCAAGGACUACUAAUUUUCUUGCUGGAAUUGCUAAAUAUCUGUCCAGAUUUGGAAUUCUGCAUAUGUUUUGGAAUAUAUUUUGAUGUUUCAUUUAAGUAAGUCCAAACUCCCUUGUAUUAUGUUCAUCUUGGCUGAUUUAAAGUGGCUGAAUCUUUAUUGCAUUUCUUUUGACAUGCUCAAUUUCUGAUUUUUCUGUUAACUCACCAUGUAAUGAAUGUAUACUCCAACUUAAUUUGGAAGUUUAUUUGAAGAACAAUGAAGUGUUUUGAACAUGGUGUGGGUGAGUUUAAUCCACUCUCUUAAUUAGAACCCUAUUGUGAGUUUAGCUGACCACCUUGGUUUGAAAGCAUCUUUGUUUGUGUGUUUAAGCAUUGGGGUAGUCGAAUCCUUUAGUCAAGCAGUGGGGUAAUUGAAUCCUCUUGUCUUUGCUGCUAAUUUUGUUUCAGUUUUCCCUUUUAUGAGUAUAAUAUCCAAUGAAGUUUUCAUUUGUGAGUUUGGAUGAAUGCUUAGCUUAAUGAAACACCAGUAGCAUGUUGUGAAACGGGGGUAUUUUCUGACACAUGACUUACUGAACUUGGCAUGACAAUUCAUCAUGAGCAUAUGCAAAAGCAUACGAGUCAGAAUGGUUUUUCUUGAUGCAAGAUGAUUAAGGCUUAGAUUUGAUUUCAUU
rnacentral:lncRNA from 1 species